rnacentral:rRNA from 1 species
CCUACGGGAGGCAGCAGUGGGGAAUAUUGGACAAUGGGCGAAAGCCUGAUCCAGCCAUGCCGCGUGUGUGAAGAAGGCCUUCGGGUUGUAAAGCACUUUCAGUGGGGAAGAAAGCCUUGGGGCUAAUACCCUCGAGGAAGGACAUCACCCACAGAAGAAGCACCGGCUAACUCCGUGCCAGCAGCCGCGGUAAUACGGAGGGUGCGAGCGUUAAUCGGAAUUACUGGGCGUAAAGCGCGCGUAGGCGGUCUGAUAAGCCGGUUGUGAAAGCCCCGGGCUCAACCUGGGAACGGCAUCCGGAACUGUCAGGCUAGAGUGCAGGAGAGGAAGGUAGAAAUCCCGGUGUAGCGGUGAAAUGCGUAGAGAUCGGGAGGAAUACCAGUGGCGAAGGCGGCCUUCUGGACUGACACUGACGCUGAGGUGCGAAAGCGUGGGUAGCAAACAGGAUUAGAUACCCUGUAGUC